UUAGAGUUUGAUCCUGGCUCAGAUUGAACGCUGGCGGCAGGCCUAACACAUGCAAGUCGAGCGGUAGCACAGAGAGCUUGCUCUCGGGUGACGAGCGGCGGACGGGUGAGUAAUGUCUGGGAAACUGCCUGAUGGAGGGGGAUAACUACUGGAAACGGUAGCUAAUACCGCAUAACGUCGCAAGACCAAAGAGGGGGACCUUCGGGCCUCUUGCCAUCAGAUGUGCCCAGAUGGGAUUAGCUAGUAGGUGGGGUAACGGCUCACCUAGGCGACGAUCCCUAGCUGGUCUGAGAGGAUGACCAGCCACACUGGAACUGAGACACGGUCCAGACUCCUACGGGAGGCAGCAGUGGGGAAUAUUGCACAAUGGGCGCAAGCCUGAUGCAGCCAUGCCGCGUGUAUGAAGAAGGCCUUCGGGUUGUAAAGUACUUUCAGCGGGGAGGAAGGUGUUGAGGUUAAUAACCUCAGCAAUUGACGUUACCCGCAGAAGAAGCACCGGCUAACUCCGUGCCAGCAGCCGCGGUAAUACGGAGGGUGCAAGCGUUAAUCGGAAUUACUGGGCGUAAAGCGCACGCAGGCGGUCUGUCAAGUCGGAUGUGAAAUCCCCGGGCUCAACCUGGGAACUGCAUUCGAAACUGGCAGGCUAGAGUCUUGUAGAGGGGGGUAGAACUCCAGGUGUAGCGGUGAAAUGCGUAGAGAUCUGGAGGAAUACCGGUGGCGAAGGCGGACCCCUGGACAAAGACUGACGCUCAGGUGCGAAAGCGUGGGGAGCAAACAGGAUUAGAUACCCUGGUAGUCCACGCCGUAAACGAUGUCGACUUGGAGGUUGUGCCCUUGAGGCGUGGCUUCCGGAGCUAACGCGUUAAGUCGACCGCCUGGGGAGUACGGCCGCAAGGUUAAAACUCAAAUGAAUUGACGGGGGCCCGCACAAGCGGUGGAGCAUGUGGUUUAAUUCGAUGCAACGCGAAGAACCUUACCUACUCUUGACAUCCAGAGAACUUUCCAGAGAUGGAUUGGUGCCUUCGGGAACUCUGAGACAGGUGCUGCAUGGCUGUCGUCAGCUCGUGUUGUGAAAUGUUGGGUUAAGUCCCGCAACGAGCGCAACCCUUAUCCUUUGUUGCCAGCGGUCCGGCCGGGAACUCAAAGGAGACUGCCAGUGAUAAACUGGAGGAAGGUGGGGAUGACGUCAAGUCAUCAUGGCCCUUACGAGUAGGGCUACACACGUGCUACAAUGGCGCAUACAAAGAGAAGCGACCUCGCGAGAGCAAGCGGACCUCAUAAAGUGCGUCGUAGUCCGGAUUGGAGUCUGCAACUCGACUCCAUGAAGUCGGAAUCGCUAGUAAUCGUAGAUCAGAAUGCUACGGUGAAUACGUUCCCGGGCCUUGUACACACCGCCCGUCACACCAUGGGAGUGGGUUGCAAAAGAAGUAGGUAGCUUAACCUUCGGGAGGGCGCUUACCACUUUGUGAUUCAUGACUGGGGUGAAGUCGUAACAAGGUAGCCGUAG
rnacentral:rRNA from 1 species